UAAAACCCUAAAAACCUAGGAUUUAAAAAGGCAUCAGCCGUUUUUGGACUAAAGGGACAAAAAAUACACGCUAGCCUAAGAUCCCUAAAAAUCAGCGCCGUUUUACACAUAGAGGAGAACCCCCCCUAAUUUUUCAUCUAUUUCGAACUACCACACCCCCGAACGACCCUGAGCCUCUUCUUCUUCGUUGAACAUGAACGCCAACAGUAGCACACCUCUCACCAUACCCAUCGACGAGCCACCCCACCUCGCUAGACGCCAACGACUACCCUAGAACGAGGACCCCAAGAUCUUCUUCUCCAUUUUUAAGCAACAGAACUGGGACCUCUCCAUCUUCAAGCAACAAAUCUUUCAGCAGCAAAGAACGAAAACAGAACCCACGACCCCCUCACUCAAACGCGUCCGGCAACACACACACACACACACACAAAAGUUUAGGAUUCUUCUGAAAAAAUCAGAUUUGGAAUUCAAAGCUACAAAGAAAAACCACACAACUCCGGAAGAUCUGAAACCAGGAAAAGGUUUCUAAAAAUCUGGAUUUCUAAAGGGGUUCUUGAGGUCGAGAUUUGUUGCCUUGUUGGUUUUUCCGGUCCCAUAUGAUUUCAGUCGAGGUUUCCGGUUCAAGGUCAGAUUAGUUCUCUCAAUGAAUUGAAUUAUUACAAUGUUGCAUCUUAUGCACUUUCUGUUCUUUUCUUUAAAUUUAGAUUCAGUUAAAUACUAUUUUAAGUUGUGCUCUUGUCUGGUAAUUGAAUUAUAUUUGUACUAUUCUCUUCCAAAUUGCAGGUUCUUUGAAAGUAACUUCUUGAUUUCGUUUCUUAGCUCAUUCUGAUUUUUUUUCUUUGUUUCAAUUUUUAUUUUCAGUAUUGGUAACAAUAAAGAGUGUUGUCUUUCGUUUUGUGUAGCUUUUGUUGCAUAGAGAAUUUCUCUUGUGGUUACAAGGAAAUAUGACGGGUGAAAAGUUUGGGUAACUGGCUAAUUACAAUGAACUUAUGAUUCUUGAACGUAUGAUUGGUAUUAACUUGAGUAGAGAUUUAAUAACCAUUGAAUACCUAGUAUACUUUUAGGCUAUUAUUAUUAUUGUGUACACGUUAGCGCGACAUAAUUACGAUUCUAAAAAUUAAUCCGGAGAAUGCGUUCGCGCAACUUCGACCAAACUUUCUCAUAAUAAUAAACUGUUAUUAAUAGUCCACUUUAAUUAAAUAUAGUUUCUUAAAAAUAGACCGAGGUGUGCCAUCCAAUUUAAUCACCCAUGGCCCUCGUAUUAAUCUUAUGACUUAGAUAUUAAAAAUGAUAUUCGUAGUAUGCUUUAGGCACGUUUAAUAUAUCAUCGUGAUUGUGGACACGUUCACGUGACAUAAUUACGAUUCUAAACACAAAUCGAAGUAUGCAUUCGCGCAACUUAGGCCCAAAUUUUUCUUUAUAAUAAUAAAGCGUUAUUAAUUGUGGACACGUUCGCGUGACAUAAUUUUUGACGCGCCAAACAAAUGGGUACACGUACGCGUGACCGGUUUUAAGAUAAUUUCUUAAUUAAAAAAGGCAAAUACACAUAGGUUCUAAAAUUAAUAAUUAAACAAUUUAAUAAUCCAAGUACGAUCAAAGCGACUUUGCUAGAACUACGGAACUCAGGAAUGCCUAACACCUUCUCCCGGGUUAAUAGAAUUCCUUACCCGAAUUUUUGUGUUCGCAGACCAUAAAUAAAGUCAUUUUUAUCGAUUAGGGAUUUUAAACCGGUGACUUGGGACACCAUAAAUUAUCUCGAGUGGCAAAUCUAUUUAAUAUAAAUAAUCUCAUUUCGAUUGCCACUUAAAUCGGAUAGAACUUCCUUAUAUCCCUUUCGGGGUAGUAAAAAGGAGGUGUGACAGCUUUGGCGACUCUGCUGGGGACAAGAACUCAGAAUCUCUGGUUCAGGGUUCAAGAAUUCGAGCUUGUUAAUAUGAUUUCUACUUGGCUUCAUUUAUUGUUAAUAUUACUGCAUUCUGUGAACCUUUUCUGCUAACUGCUGUCUGUUUACUGCUUUAAUAUUAUUUGAAUUGUAUAUAAUUGUCUUCCUACGCCACCCCUCUAAGUCUUCUGAAAAUGGUGCACAUAUUCACGUAGCCCGCUUUUUCUGUAUAAGUUAUGCCAAAUAGAACGAGGAUGGACCAAUAACAAGGCCGGGUAGACUUCAGUGCUCCCAGUAUGUCGCCCCCUCUUCGGCCCCAGUUGUCCGCUCGGGUAACCCAAGUCUAGAACACAACCCCAGGAUUUAAACCUAGAAAAACACAGCCUCAUGCCGGAUCCCUAGUAGGAACGUUUGUUUGCAUCACGUGCAUUUGACUUUGGGGACUUAACAUAGGGGUUGGGUCCGCCUAGGACUGGUGUACCCAAAAUAACAAACUAUCUUGAUGCAUCAUAUGUGCUACAUGUUGCAUUUCUUUAAGGGUAAAAGGGUCAUUUGGCGGACCAAUAAUAGUUGAGGGCAAUGAAAAAAAGGAAAAAAAAAAGAAAAAAAGAGGGUGAAGUGUGAAAAUAAAAUAAGUAGGACCUAGUUAUGUUUUCUGUCACAUUUUUAUUAAGAAAAUACAAAAAAAAAAGAUUUUGCACUUUUUCAUCGUUUUCCGAAAAUAAAAAAAAUCAAAAAAAAAAAAGAGAAAAAGAAAAUCCAAAAAGAGUUUAUAUGUUUCAUCAUUUUUUCAAAAAAAAAAGGACAAAAAACAUAUUUUCUUUAAAUUAUUUGUUAAGUUUUAAUUCUCACCCAUAUCCAAUCUGCCUGAACUACGUAUACCUGAUUCUCGUCUUUAGGGGCGUGAUACGUAGGCAACCUACAUAGGGUCCGGUCUUCCUAGUGAGUCUUAGGUUCUUGUCUUCGCGGCGACUUAGCCAAAUCUUGCAUUUUUAGCCACUUUUAGCCACAUAGGUUAAUUUUAGAAAAUAGUCACAAUCAUGUCUUGAAUGUGUCCAACAGGAAGGGUUAUUGUCUCACAUAGAGUUCUAGGUCUUUAACUUUAUUUGGUCUUAAUUUUCUCAUACAGGUGUGAAUUUACUCACUGAAGUUUGAGCAUGACAAAGCCCCUAGACCAUCUAGUCGGGAUCGCCCAUUCAGGAGCGGAUUAAAAGGAGAUUUUCUUUUCUUUUUUUUUAUGUUUUGAGUUUGUUCUUCUUUUCAUGUCGUCUUUUACCUUCUAGUUUUGUAUAGUAAUAUCGAGUUUUUUUUUUUAUUUUUGUACUUUCUAUUUUGCGUUUGAAAAAUGUAUUAUAAAUCAAAAAUCCAAAAAAGGGAUAUUUUGCGUUUUUAUAUUUCCCUUAAAAUUUUCUUUAGAAAUACUACUCCUAGAAAUUAAAAAAAAAAAGAAAUUUUG
rnacentral:lncRNA from 1 species